rnacentral:rRNA from 1 species
UAACCUUGCGGCCGUACUCCCCAGGCGGUCUACUUAUCGCGUUAGCUUCGUUACCAAGAGAUCAAGUCUCCCGACAACUAGUAGACAUCGUUUACGGCGUGGACUACCAGGGUAUCUAAUCCUGUUUGCUCCCCACGCUUUCGUGCCUGAGCGUCAGUCUUUGUCCAGGGGGCCGCCUUCGCCACCGGUAUUCCUCCAGAUCUCUACGCAUUUCACCGCUACACCUGGAAUUCUACCCCCCUCUACAAGACUCUAGUUCGCCAGUUCGAAAUGCAAUUCCCAGGUUGAGCCCGGGGCUUUCACAUCUCGCUUAACAAACCGCCUGCGCACGCUUUACGCCCAGUAAUUCCGAUUAACGCUCGGACCCUCCGUAUUACCGCGGCUGCUGGCACGGAGUUAGCCGGUCCUUCUUCUGUAGGUAACGUCACAGCAACAGCGUAUUAAGCUGCUACCUUUCCUCCCUACUGAAAGUGCUUUACAACCCGAAGGCCUUCUUCACACACGCGGCAUGGCUGCAUCAGGGUUUCCCCCAUUGUGCAAUAUUCCCCA